rnacentral:rRNA from 1 species
CGAACGGGUGAGUAACACGUGAGUAACCUGCCCCAGACUCUGGGAUAACCCCGGGAAACCGGAGCUAAUACCGGAUACGACACGAAGAGGCAUCUCUAUCGUGUGGAAAGUUUUUCGGUCUGGGAUGGACUCGCGGCCUAUCAGCUUGUUGGUGAGGUAAUGGCUCACCAAGGCGACGACGGGUAGCCGGCCUGAGAGGGCGAUCGGCCACACUGGGACUGAGACACGGCCCAG